GGCAGCAGCGCUCCCAGGGCCAGCAGGGCCACAACCAGGGCACAUCCUGCCCUCUGGGGACAUGGAAGGAAUGUCACCUUCAGUGUGGCUGCCACGGACGGGGAAGGAGCGGCCAGCAGCAGGAGUGCUGGCACAGCUGUGAGAGUCCCCCGGCCAUGGAGGUCACCGUUGUCCCCAGGGCUGCGAGGGGACCAGAAAGGGGAGCUGCCCUGCAAGGGGCUGGUGGGGCAGCCACUGUGGAGGAGCCAGGAGGGGACACGAGUGCUGGGAUCUGGUGCCAGGCCCAGGAGCCAAGGGGACAGAGCCAGGACUGGCCUGGCACUGCUGGGACACACCUGGGACACCUGUCACCGGUGCCACAUGGAUCUGCAGAGCACGGUGAGGUGACCUUGGGCUGGCACUGCUGCAGGUGGCAGGGACAGGCUGGGGUGGCUGUGCUGGCUCUGCUUUGCUGCUCCUGGGGUGAUGGCAGGGCCAAAGCCGGCUUCUGGAAGAGAAAAAGGUGAGGGAAUGGGAAAAGAGGGGGUUUCUGCAGUCUUGGCAGGGGCAGGGAGCCCGUGUGAGCCAGGAGCAGCUGGACAAGGAGAGAAGGAAAAUAACAACUUUAGAAGAAGAGAAACUGGAGCUGCUGGAGGUCAGAGCACUCCUGGUUUUCCAGAGGGGCCAGGAUCACACCGGAGGGGCCGUGGGAAGGAGCACACACAUCACACCCUGCCACAGCUCAGCCCCUUUUCCAGCAUCUCAUGGGAAACAUUCCUGCCUCCCAAAUUCCUACAGAGCCCAGCUGGAUUUAUCCACAGCGGGGUUUAUUGAGGGACUGAGGCUUUUAGGAGAAGAAUUUGUUGGGAAAACCACCCUUGUGGCCGUGGGCAGCCUGGGGUCAGUGUGUGCAGCUCAGAGGGUCCCUGGAGAGCCUGGGCAGAGGCAGGAGAGCUGGAAUGUUGGGAAGGGCAGAGAAACAGGCAGGGCUGGGG